rnacentral:sRNA from 1 species
AAAAAAAAACUGAAACGAAGAAACCGAAGAAGAAGAAAAAGAGAAAGAGACAGAGAUAUUUGAGAAAGAAGUGAAAAGAAGUUCAAAAUUCAUUAUCCACUCCUUCAUAUUUCAACAUCUCUCCAUUGAACUCCAAAAUUGAAGAACAAAUUUCUUAUUUUCACAGAUGAACAAAAUGCAAAAAAAAAAAAAACUCAUAAAUUCAAUCACUUUAGCUUUUUAAACUAAUAAUAUUCUAGGUUUACAAGAUUUAUUUAUAAAUAGUCAUCAAAACGUAAAAAGAAUGAGAUUUUGAGAAAACUACUAAAGACGGCCGCAAAAUUAGGUUUGCAGAAAAGAAUACACAAGUUGAAGAUGACUGGAAAAUUACAAUUAUACCCUUCAACAAAAAAAUUCUAUGUACGUAUAUUCAAUUUACAGUGUACGUACACGAAAUUAUUUAUUGGAACGUAUAUAGUACGAUUUCUAAUAAGUCAAACUAUUUUUGUACGUAGUCUUAUAUCUCAAUAAUCUCCAUACAUACAUAAUAAUUAAAUAAAAAUAGAUGGUGAAAUAAUGUUUGUUCCUCAUAUUGAAAAGUUAUGUACGUUUAUGUGUAAUAAUGUACGUACAUUUUUGUUGGUAAAUUAAUGUAUGUACAUGUGUAAUAAUAUACGUACAUCUUUGUUUUUGAAUUAAAUUAUUAAG